rnacentral:rRNA from 1 species
AGCCGCGGUAAUUCCAGCUCCAUUGGCGUAUAUUAAAGUUGUUGCGGUUAAAAAGCUCGUAGUUGGAUCUGUGUAUCGGACGGUCGGUUCGCCGCUCGCGGUGUUCAACUGACCGGUCCGGACGUCCUGCCGGUGGGUACCGGUUCGCGCCGGGUCCCGUAACUCCCUCCGCGCUGCUCUUAACCGAGUGGUUCGGUGGGCCGGCACGUUUACUUUGAACAAAUUUGAGUGCUCAAAGCAGGCCUUAUGUUGCCUGAAAACUGUGUGCAUGGAAUAAUGGAAUAGGGCCUCGGUUCUAUUUUGUUGGUUUUCUGAACUUGAGGUAAUGAUUAAUAGGGACAGACGGGGGCAUUCGUAUUGCGACGUUAGAGGUGAAAUUCUUGGAUCGUCGCAAGACGGACCGAUGCGAAAGCGUUUGCCAAGAAUGUUUUCGCUAAUCAAGAACGAAAGUUAGAGGUUCGAAGGCGAUCAGAUACCGCCCUAGUUCUAACCAUAAACGAUGCCAGCCAGCGAUGCGCCGAAGUUCCUCCGAUGACUCGGCGCGCAGCUUCCGGGAAACCAAAGCUUUUGGGUUCCGGGGGAA